UUUUCUCAAAGACUCUGUUUACAGAAACAUAAACAACAUAUUUGCUUUAAGGUGUGUUAAAAUUAAUGUCCAUUUCUAUAAUCACUUUGUUGAAUAGGUUUAGCGACUUUUAUUUGUAAAUAUGGUCUGCGUAAAUUUUUGUUUACAGUUUCCUAUUAAUAAUUUGUCGAGUACUAAAACAAAUCACAACAAUUUACACUUCUCGAUCAUUAAAGACAACUCCUAAAAGUUUAUUUUAGAAUGAGUUUUUUUACAAUUUUGAUCUUACUGGUUUCAAUUGAGUCAUUUAAAAUGCAAGGACCACGUUCCAGAAUAAAAGAUGACAAUACAACAGAUAUGAAAACAAGCACAAAGCACUUCAAUGAAUGUAAUAAUUGUACUGAUGAUAAAUCAAUGCAUUUUAUAAAUACUGGACUCAAAGAAUACUAAAACUUGAAUUUAAAAAGUUGCAGCAUGUCAUUUAGUAACUUGAGUGAGUGGUGCUUGAAAUUGUGUUACGGAAUGAAAUGAAUAAUAGCAACAUGUUUAAAUAAAAUGAAUCGUGAACCUUAAAAACCGAACUCUGUUAAAGUCUUUUUAUAUACAGCAAUUACAAAGUUAAUUAUAGCUAUGAUUAUUUUUUGAUUAAAAUUUUUUUAAAAUAAUGUCAAUUGAAUAAACAAUUAUAUAUUUACAAAGUAUGUAUACGUUUAAUGUUAUU
rnacentral:lncRNA from 1 species